rnacentral:rRNA from 1 species
UGCAGUCGAGCGCCCCGCAAGGGGAGCGGCAGACGGGUGAGUAACGCGUGGGAACAUACCCUUUCCUGCGGAAUAGCUCCGGGAAACUGGAAUUAAUACCGCAUACGCCCUACGGGGGAAAGAUUUAUCGGGGAAGGAUUGGCCCGCGUUGGAUUAGCUAGUUGGUGGGGUAAAGGCCUAACUAGGCGACUAUCCAUAUCUGGUCUGAGAGGAUGAUCGACCUUUUUGGGACUGAAACGC